GGGAAUGCGGCAGCUACACAUGCAGUCGAACGGUAGCACAGAGAGCUUGCUCUCGGGUGACGAGUGGCGGACGGGUGAGUAAUGUCUGGGAAACUGCCUGAUGGAGGGGGAUAACUACUGGAAACGGUAGCUAAUACCGCAUAACGUCGCAAGACCAAAGAGGGGGACCUUCGGGCCUCUUGCCAUCAGAUGUGCCCAGAUGGGAUUAGCUAGUAGGUGGGGUAACGGCUCACCUAGGCGACGAUCCCUAGCUGGUCUGAGAGGAUGACCAGCCACACUGGAACUGAGACACGGUCCAGACUCCUACGGGAGGCAGCAGUGGGGAAUAUUGCACAAUGGGCGCAAGCCUGAUGCAGCCAUGCCGCGUGUAUGAAGAAGGCCUUCGGGUUGUAAAGUACUUUCAGCGGGGAGGAAGGUGUUGUGGUUAAUAACCGCAGCAAUUGACGUUACCCGCAGAAGAAGCACCGGCUAACUCCGUGCCAGCAGCCGCGGUAAUACGGAGGGUGCAAGCGUUAAUCGGAAUUACUGGGCGUAAAGCGCACGCAGGCGGUCUGUCAAGUCGGAUGUGAAAUCCCCGGGCUCAACCUGGGGACUGCAUUCCAAACUGGGGCGCUUUAGUCUUGUAUACGGGGGUAGACAUCUCCGUGUGGCACUGCCACCAGUUCAAAUUUUUUGACGGAAUGGGAGUGCCGGGUGUCUC
rnacentral:rRNA from 1 species